rnacentral:rRNA from 1 species
CCUACGGGCGGCAGCAGUGAGGAAUAUUGGUCAAUGGGCGCUAGCCUGAACCAGCCAAGUAGCGUGAAGGAUGACUGCCCUAUGGGUUGUAAACUUCUUUUAUAAGGGAAUAAAGUGUGGCACGUGUGCCGUUUUGUAUGUACCUUAUGAAUAAGGAUCGGCUAACUCCGUGCCAGCAGCCGCGGUAAUACGGAGGAUCCGAGCGUUAUCCGGAUUUAUUGGGUUUAAAGGGAGCGUAGGUGGGUUUUUAAGUCAGUUGUGAAAGUUUGUGGCUCAACCGUAGAAUUGCAGUUGAUACUGGCAGUCUUGAGUACAGUAGAGGCAGGCGGAAUUCGUGGUGUAGCGGUGAAAUGCUUAGAUAUCACGAAGAACUCCGAUUGCGAAGGCAGCUUACUAAACUGCAACUGACACUGAUGCUCGAAAGUGUGGGGAUCAAACAGGAUUAGAUACCCUAGUAGUC